rnacentral:lncRNA from 1 species
AGUGGAAGCAUGGGCGGCGAGCCGGGCCGUGCUCUCGGGGCGCGGGGUCCCCAUUUUGGGCGAGGGCGGCCGCUCCCGCGCUCGGGGUGGGCGCGCCCCAUCCCCGUCCCCCGUUUCCCGUCCCCGUCUCCCGGCCGCAUCUCCGUCCCCCCGCAGCCGCGAAACGCGGGGAGGUUCCAGGGCCCGCGGCCGCGGGUUCGCGAGCACCGCGCUCCAGAUCGAGAGCGGCGCGCGCCCUUCCGUGGAGGACAGAGGGGCGCGGAGGGGGCGCCUGUGUCCCACCCGCUCGCGGGCGCUUUACGGGGCGUCCUCUGCGCCAUUCACUUGUCAGCUUGUCGGGAAGUUGAAAUCGCGUUUGGGAGGUAAUAGGAGAAAGAGAUCGGGGACGGCAGGCGGAGAAAGUGCGGUUUCCAUAGCGCCGGGGAGAGGGCGGACCCGCGAGCCAGCGGUCCCUGAGCCGGGAGACCGCGCGGGCGUCUCUCCAGCCCCCGCAGGAGCGCCGCCUUCCUUCCGCAGGGGCGUCCUCUCCCCCCACCGCUGCAGGAGCACCCCCUUCCUUCCUCGGAAGCGUCCUCUCACCACACCGCUUCAAGAGCCCCCCCUUCCUUCCACAGGGGCGUCCUUUCCCCCUCCGAGGCAGGAGCGCCCCUUUUCCCCCCACAGGAGCGCCCUCCCCACCCCAGGAGCGCCCUGCGCCCAGCAGACGGGCAGGUGGGCGGGCGUCCACUACCUGUGUGCGCGGUGCGGGCGGUGACUGCCAAGUUGGAGAUGCCCUUGGAGAACUGCUUCGAAUUCAUGUAUCUACUGGGCUUUUGUGACUUUCAAAGCCUAUAGCAAAUAAGCACCCCUGCAAUUACGUCUCCUCAAUGACCAAGUCAGGGUGAGGUGAGGGCUUCCUGAGUUCAGAUCCCAGCAAGCUCCCGAUCCUGCGCAACGAAGAAAACUCAACAAAACAGGCUUUGGCUGUUUAUUUUAUUUUUUUUUUAAUUGUGCCUUCAUGAAAUAAUUUACAGCAAUAAUUUAUCUUAUAAUAUUGGUUAUUGUUUUUAAGUCCCGGAUGUUUACUUUUGGAUGUCCUCUAUAAUUCAUAGAAGUAUCUUAAAAGUAAUAAAAUCUUAAUCUAAGAGAAAAUAAGUGUAAUUUUUGAAAGAGUGAUAUAUAUUUUAAUAUGUUUUUGUAACAUGUGACUUGAAGAUUGUGUUGGCUAAUUUUAUGUGCCAAGAGAGCCCUGACUAGUACAAAGAUUAUAGCGUUUUUAUUUUUAGCAUGUAUACAGUUAGGAUUAUUGAUCAGUAGCCUGAAUUUGGGAAGAAUAAUCAUUGUGGCAAAUAUCACCCAGUGUGCCUCAAAAAGGUGUGUUUAAAGUUGAUCUUCCAUUUUUAAAUCAUACCUUAAAAAAAAAUACCUCAAGAAAUGCCAUUUUAAGUCUGUGCACCUAUGUGUGCAUGUGUGCGUGUUUGUUUAUAUAAUAGAUUGUGUGAUUGUGUGUGUAUAGGUAUGUGUGUAUGAUUGUGUGUGUUGGGGGCGCCACCUUUAUGAACAUUAUGCUUCGGCGUUCUUUUUAGAUCUUGUUACCUUUUCUUACGUUCACAAAUGUUGCCUAGCAAUAUGUCUAGUCAGGAAAGAUGAAGGGAUUCUUAUCUUGGUGCUUGAAGAAAAUGUGGUGUAGUUUUAUUGGCUUUGUGAUCACUUACAUCCCACUUUUAUGAGGAUGUAAAUGGGCCACCUCUAUGUUCCUGUAUGUUGCCAGCCAUCAGUAGACAAUGCUAAAGGAACCACCACUUUUAAACAUCAUGUGAUGGUUUCUUCUGAGAAAGUAUAUUUUGCAAUCUUUUUCUUUUUCAUGUUGACUUUUAUUAUGCAGUUGCAUUUUCAUAUCCGUAUUGAACAUUUACUUGCUGUGCCUGUCACACGCUAGCAGGUGUCAUCUUUUCCUGUUUGCUUGUUUCUUGGGGCCAUCCUAGUGUUAAAGGCCAGUGUUUUUAAGGUGUCAGCAGCUCUGGAUUGGCAGUUAGCACUUUCCCCAUGUACUGCCUCAGUUACCAGACUGGGGACAAAAGAGAGAAGGUUAAAGAAUUAUCACCUAUGUCCGUGGUAUUCUGUCAUAGAGAGUAUAAAUUUCCUACAGCAAACUGGAAAUUAAUUGCAAUUCUGCAGUUAGAACCUCCAAAUACAAAUGUGGAUGAUACAAUUUCAAUUCUCAUUGAGAGUCAGCCCAUGAAACAAACCAACAGUAAGAAACUCUGUAAUUAGAAGUAUCCCAGUCCUCUUCCUCAACCGAGGAACUUGUUUUCUUUCCCCCUUUCUAUUGCCAGAUAAGCUAUUUAUUUAUUUAAAGCUUGUUCUACACCUUGUGAUUUUCCAACUGUUCUUCCAUACUUUUUCAACAAAAGUCAGCUAAUAACAUCUGCCAACAUGCUCUGCACGCAGGACUGGCUGGGGCUGGCAUGGCCUCUUGCCAGCAAACAGCCUGGUUGAAAUUUUUUCUCAUGGUCCAAGAUCUUUCCUUGGAAGCUUUCUUUCCUUUCACAGCUAAUAAAAUGGCCAUAUCUUUCAGCAGGGAGUUUUUUCUGUUUGUUUGUUUUUU